rnacentral:lncRNA from 1 species
GUCCAAUUACCGAAAAAAAAGACAACUGUGCUUUGCAAAGGAAUGCUGCUGCCCUUACAUUUUGUUUUCCUCCUGAAAUCAUGGAUUAUUGCUAGUAAAACCCUUGAAGAUGAAAAAAAUAAAUAAAUAAAAGGUAGAGGCAUCAUCCUUUAAGCCAAAAAAAAGUCUAAAGUUAUCUUCAGAACUUUUUUUUCUGUCUCAUAACAUGUGACACAACAGAGGAUAAAGUACUAUCAGAUCUCUGUAUCCACAGAUUUCACAUCCUAAAUUCCCCCCUCCCAAAAAAAAGCAUUCUAGGAAGUUCCAAAAAUGUGAAACUUGAAUUUGCUAUGCAUCAGCAACUAUUUACAUACUAUUUUUAUUAUAUUUGGUAUUAUAAGUAAUCUAGAGAUGAUUUAGGGUGUAUAUGAGGCUCUGUGUAGUUUAUACACCAGCACUAUGCCAUUUCACAUAAGAGAUUUGAGCAUCCAUGGAUUUUGAUAUGGGGGAAUGAAGGGUUCCUGGAACCAAUCCUUCAGAAAUACCAUGAACUGACUGUAUAUUAGAUAGUUAAAAUACAUGGUCUUGUGAGAAAAAGAAUGUACAUAUGUAUGUGUGACUGGGUCACCUUGCUGAAUAUAGAUAAUUAACAGAACUCUGUAAACCAGCUAUAAUGGAAAAAAAAAUCAUCAAUAAAAAAAUUAAUACUUGGUCUUGGAGUUCCGUUGUGGCUCAACAGAAAUGAAUCUGACUAGGAUCCAUGAGAACGCAGGUUCGAUCCCCUGCCUUGCUCAGUGAGUUAAGGAUCUGGCAUUGCUGCUAGGUAAGCUGUGGUGUAGGUCACAGACACGGCUUGGAUUUGGCAUUGUUGUGGCUGUGGUGUAGGCCAGUGCCUACAGCUCCAAUUCAACCCCUACCCUGCGAAUGUCCAUAUGCCACAAGUGUGGCCCCUAAAAAAAAAAAAAAAAAGUCUUUGGAUUAAGAAUAUGCUUGGUUUAAAAUCUUUAUACUCUUUCUUUUUACUUCCAGCCACAGCCAUAGCAUGUGGAGGUUCCAGGGCCAGGGAUUGAACCCAUGCCACAGCAGUUACCUGAGCCGCAGUGGUGACAACACUGGAUCCUUAACCUACUGUACCACCAGAGAAUUCCUUUUAUACUCUUUCUUAAUAACUAUGUUUUCCUAAGCAAGUUAUCCCACUUCCCUAAGUGUCAAUUUUCUCCUAUAUAAAAUCAGUAAAAAUACCUUCUUGAUCCAUAUGUUGUAAAGAAGAUAAUGCAUUUCAGUGCUUACUGAGUAUUCAGUAGAGGGCAAUAGUGAGGAAUAAAAGAUGAUGAUGAUCAAUAAAACAGUGUUUCCUUUAGAAUAAGUUUAUAAUUCCUUUUCAUAAAACGGGACAAAGAAGUCCUGAUAAGAUGCCUUUCCCUCUAAAAUUAGACAGUCUUUACCUCUGAAAGUCUCUGUUUUGAUGUACAUUUUCUUAGUAUUGCAGCUUGAUCUGGAGGGUGAAAAUCUAUUGAUACAUUGAGGUCAGUUAGAAGUAGGAUUGGAAAAUCACAGAAGCUAGAAAGUUGGGUGAGAGAGAAGAGUUUUGCCGAUUUGAUUAAAAAAACCCAUCUGGGUGCUUACUAUAUUCAACAUUUAUGUUAGACUCUGUCAAGCAGAGAUAUGCCACUCAAAGACAUUACUUCUCUUGCAAUCUGCCCUGAAAUGUCUGCUAGGAAAUGAAAAGCCAUUAUGGCUAUCGGGUAGCGAGUCCAAUUACAAAGGACUCCAGAGCCCUCUGCCAUGUGACCUGACUCUAAAUUGUCCUUCAGGAUUGUGGCCUGCUCUUCUGGCCGUCUGCUUUCUGCCCACUCACAGUAAUUGGGACAAAGAAGGUGCUUAUCUGUCUUGUUGAUGGCACUGUGCUCAUUUGAUAACAGCCGCAUAACCAGAGCACAAGAAGGCAAGUCCAUUUGCAGGAGCUAUAAUUUCACUCACUGGAGGGAGUGAAUCCUGGGUAUCCCAGUUGGACAAAUAGACAUUGCACAAAGGGGAUAGAGAUAACCACACUUUUUUUCCUCCUAAAAAGAAACAAUAAAAUAAACCUCUUCCUUCACCCUCUUUUCCUAAUGGUGUUGUCUGAUUGAUGAAAAGUACAGAUGAAAGAAGGAAGCAAGAAGAGAGUCUGCACUGAGGAAGGAGGAAGGACACAAACAUCUGUAUUCUUGGUAGUGGGAAACUCUAAUCCUUAGGCAUCAAUUUCACCCUCUUGAUCCAGUUAUCCUUCAAGAAUUCCCCUGUUAUCAUGUGAGGUUCUCUUUCCUUGCUGUCCUGCCACUGCCCUGAAAAUGCUCACCACUUUGCUCUGAUAGGCUGGUAAGGCGUUUAGGCUUAUUUUAUGGAGGAAUCUUGCAUAUGGCUCAUUUCCCAUUUACAUGGCCAAGUGCUGCUUUGUGAAUGUUCUCUGCAGGGGCUAGGCCAGGGGAGGCAAUUUGUACAGCCUGAGCAAAGCAGGAAAGGAGUCCACUUAGAUGUAAGAAUUGAAUGUAGGGGUUUUACAUUGUUAUACAUUUUUUAUGAAUUAUAAAAAAAUAAAUGAACACAAAACCACAUCUGCAAAUCAACCAGAGAGUUCUGAAACCCCAUUUAGGGAUUUGAAGAGAUGAAUUCUCACCCCAGCACUCAGGAGGGGGAGUGUUUUGUGAAAGUGCUGUCACAGUCCUAAAAGCAAGGAUUGUACACCUUUUAUUAGCACUUCUGAUUUAGGAAGCUGCAAAGCACUUUGACUCAUACGUGAAAAUGAAAAUACCCGAACCAAAACCUCUUUCUUUUUGGUAAUAAAUCUUUGUCUACUUUGAAUUUUUGUCUCAUGUACUUUUUUGGCAUAUUAGCAGCAAAACUUUUCUUACAAACUAAAGCAAAUAACUUUAUAUGUGCCUUUGCAAGAAUGCUUUACUUAAGAAAAAAAAAAAAAAAAAAAAAA